rnacentral:ncRNA from 24 species
AACUUAUCAAGAGUGGUGGAGGGACUGGCCCUAUGAAACCCGGCAACCGACAUUUAGUUCAUUUACUAUAUGUGACGGUGCUAAUUCCUGCAGUUUAUUUAAACUGGUAGAUGAGAG